rnacentral:lncRNA from 1 species
AUCACCAACACAAGGCUGCUGCACUCAGUCCAGCAGAACUUCUGCCCUCCCAAAAGACAUUUUUCUGCAGUCUUAAAAACAGAUAACAUGAGAACCCUGUUUUUGCACAAGUCUAAUGAUACCGUGUUUUCCACUGUUUUUUGCUUUCCACACCCUAGACAUAAUCCUACAGGGAAAGAAACAUCCCGCACCCCUCUCCUUUCUCCUCCUUCUCUUGCCCCCCUUGCUGUACUUACAGAAUUCAGAGUUUUCCAGCACAUUCCAGUUGUAGGCUGCAUAAAUAAAUACAGGGUAAAAACUUUGGGGAGCUUGGAGCUCUGCCAGCCUGCCUGGAUAACUGGACUUUUUGUGGAGCUGGAAGGGUGUUUUUUAAAGGGAGGAAAAAGAAAAAAAAGAAAAAAAAAGCACAGCUUCAGAAUCUUGGCUCAGCCUGGGCAUAUUUCCUCCUAGCUCUGGCUAAACCUCAGCACGAACUGCUGGACAGACAGACAGAGCAGUGUAUGCACAGCCUGGGAGGGAGCUCGCCGUGCUCUGCACCAGGACUAGAGCGGAGCGUGGGACCAUGCUGUUCAUCUGGGUGCUGGUGUUUGCUGGAGUCCUGCAGGAACAAGAGCUCUUCGCUGCUGCAGACCCUACCAGUCUGUUACCUGGAAGUUUGGGAAGCUGGUGCCAUGAACACGAUACAAUGCACGAACGCUUAGAUAUUAUUGAAGAGAAAGUAAUAAAAACUGUGGAGCAUCUAGAAUCAGAAGUCAAAUCACUCCUCAGUAUCAUCAGUGAGACAACAUCAGACCUCCCCAUCGCCGGAGGAACCCCACUGAUAGACAUUUUUGAUGGUAAGUAUUUAGUGGGACAUAAAGUAAACCAACAAGAAUGUUGCACGUGCUAUUCCGAAUGCCAUCUUCUUUCCACAUCAGAUGAGAAAUAACUCAUUCAUUCAGUUCAGUGCAGAGAAGGCAUCAGUUUAAAUACAGGGUUCAGUUCUGAACAAUGUCACAACCAGCACUAAAGAAAGGGGAACAAAAUAAGUGAACAAACCAGGCACAGAGCUAGAUGUAGGAGAUACAAAGAAAGGCUGAUCAACUGGGGAUAUUAGCAUUGUCCAAUUCAGUUUGAAAUGGCCCAUUUGAGUAAGGCUGCUGCAAAGUCAAAAGCUCCACUGUAAAAGUGGGUAAAACAAGAACCAAUGCAGCAAAACAGACUCAAGUAAAAGACAAUGUAUAUUUGAUCCAAGGCCAGUGAACCUCUGCAAUGAUGUCUGUAGUUUCCCCAGCACUAGAAAUGCUAGACAGCACUCUGUUCUCUUCAGUCUAUGCCCAUCAAUAGUUCAUUUAAAAGGCAAGAGACACUGCUGGCAGAGAGUAAACCUUGUGGAAAGGCAUGAGCAACACCCAGCUACUGUUAUGAACUCAGUUUUGUCAUUUUUUGUUAUUGCUGUAUGUAUAUAUACUCACAUAUUGUACUGCGCUUCAGUGAUACGAUGUGAGCUGAAAGCAGACAGCAGUACAAGGUAUGUUUUAGUU